GCUGGCCCUCUAGGCAUUGUGGGAUUGGGGUGGGGGUAAACUCCUCCAUGACAGGUGAGGUCAGGUAACAGCAUUCCCAGGCUGAGACCGGACAUCAAGAGUAAGAGACUUUCCCAUUGACCAGCUCUCCAAGGAGUUAGAGGGAAUUGUAUCCUGAGCUGAGACCAGAGCAGUGGCGGAGCUGGGGAGUUGCCGGUGUGCCUAGAGACACCAGUGGUCAUGUAUGGAUGUGAGAGUUGGACUGUGAAGAAAGCUGAGUGCUGAAGAAUGAUGCUUUUGAACUGUGGUGUUGGAGAAGACUCUUGAGAGUCCCUUGGACUGCAAGGAGAUCCAGCCAGUCCAUUCUAAAGGAGAUCAGCCCUGGGAUUUCUUUGGAAGGAAUGAUGUUAAAGCUGAAACUCCAAAAUUUUGGCCACCUCAUGCGAAG
ensembl:lncRNA